GUUAAUUUUGAACUGUUUAUUGGUAAAGGUUAAGAGCAAGUCUGUGUUCUGUCCUAAGUCACAUAAUGCGCGGGCCGGUUCGAGAGUGCGAGCAUGAACGCGUCUCCCAAAAACCUCCCAAACAACUUAAAUUCGCGAGUGUGAGGAGUGAGGGCGCGAUCGUAGAGCAAGGAAAGGUGGUUGCAGAGGGGAAGGAAAGGUGGCAUCGAGAAUGAAAAACCCCUCGUCACCUUUGUCAAAAUUGGCGAUUUUCAAACUGUUAGAAAGGUGGUUGCGGAGGGGAAGGAGGGUGGUUAAACCAAAAUGGCAUUGCAAAGGUGGAGCAACGCUGUCAUUUUUUUGAAAAGAUGACUCUGUAGCUAGCCAAAAAAUGGCUUCGGCAAUGCCAUUUUGGCACAACAGGUAGACUUGCUCUAAGUCGAUUUUCAAACAAGAUUUAGGGAAGAUGAAUGACUGGGUGAAAGUCUAAUCGAAUUAGUGUUGUUUUAACUUCAUCUGAUUUCUGUACGGGAAAUUUUUGGUGGGUGAAUUUCAUGAUCAUCACCAUAAGCAAAUUAAGAAGUGGAAUUCUUAAGAGCUCUAUUUGCAUGGGAAGAAGAACAAUUGGAAGUGCUAAGGGAGAAGCGAUGGGUCUCUACAUUAUGUCUUUAUAAGUUUUCCUCGUCCAAUAAAUGUGCUUUCCAAACGCAAGGAUACAUGACUUGGGCCAUCUGACAUUUGUUGCAGGUUUAGUAUUGUUGCUAAUUUUGGUUACUUAAGAAUGUAUUUGACAGCCAAGACAGUUAUAUUAAAUUGCUGAUUGCCGAUAAUUUGACGUGAGGUGGGGGAGGCGAGAGAGCUCCAACUAGAGAGUGAGGAGUUCAUUGCUGGGAAAGUGAGAAGAACAUGAACAUUGGAGUACAUGUGUAGGUUGUCUAAAUUUACGCUGAUGAGUAGUUGGUAUAAUGAUCUUGGUUUCCAACCUGUGAAAUGUCUUUUCAGCCAUGAAGCUACCCUCUCUACGUUGUUCAUUUACAUGGUAGUGUCCUAUUAGAUGUCAUAAGCUGAAAAUAGACUAUUCACACUGUGGACAAAAUCUAGGUCAUAUAAUCCUUUGAUACGACUCUUCACGAUAGUCUCCUUUUAGACGUCAUAAGCUGAAAAUAGACUGUGUUUGUAGUUUCAUAAUGCACCUUAUUUGCAAUUUAUAUAGGCCCAUAUAUAAGCAUGUGUGCUUGUACAUUUACGUUGAGACAUAUACCAAUAACAUCUAGUAUGGGCUAUUCCAUUGGUAAGUGACGGUUAACCUUCUUGUACUCUAAGAGGCAGGUUUUAAUAGCAGCCCCAUGUUGUCUUUCCUAUCACCCAAAGUUCUAUGUUUAAACUUAAAGACUUUCUCUGCUGAACUUGAUGCGAGGACUGAUAACAUCCAGGUGGUUUUCAUCUUGGUGGUGGGAUCAAUCCAGACAAUGCCUUGAGUUACAUUGAGUAAUCUUUACCACAUUGCAAUCACAACGAGCAGUUCAGGAAUUGUUGACCUAGAAUGAGAAUUCACAGCCUACGAACCACCACAACCUGAUCAGGCCGCAGUUCGUUUUCUGCAAUCUACAAUGGCAAUAACAACAACAAUCAUCAAAAGUAUAUGUGGACUGUACCUUCAUCCAUCUCUAGGCCUCGUCAUGGACUGUGCAUCCAAUGUGGAGUUAGGUUCCGCCCUUGCAUUGACAUACACAAGGUUGGACUUCUUCACAAGUACCGAUUUGUGUUUUCAUACCUCUGUGUUUGAGAUAUUGAAAUGUGAACCUGUUUAAGUAGGGUGAAAAGAAUUCGCCAAAGGUAACUAUCCUAGCAAGAUUUACUAAGUUCUAUGUUUGUUGGAAUAUUUCUUAAAGAUAUGCUAUCUAUUCAUUUAAUAAUUAGUUUAGUAGUCGUAAGCUAGGUAGUAUAUUAUUUUCCAGAGACAUAGGAUGUUAGAUAACAAAGUUUGAAAUUUCUCUUGAUGACCUUUUGAUUUCACCAGCUGAAUGUUGGCCAUGCACAAUCACUCGCUGGAUCUUAGGUUUUUGAUAAGGUUGCAGGUUAUCAAGGUUGCAACACAUCUCAAUAUCAAUUGGCUUUUCCACGUAGUUGUGUCCUUGUGGAGGAAUCAGUAAAUUGUCAUGUAAUGGCUUUAGGUAAUGGCUGCAACUGAUUUAGAAGCGUGAAACUUACAACAAAUCUCAAGCUUUUAAAAUGGAUUUUAGAUGGUUACCGCUCGACCCCCACGUGGAGGUGGUGUGGCAUUCAAUGGAGCACAAUGUGUUUAAACUAAGCUUGACACUGUAAAUAAACAAGUUCUAUGUUGUCUAAAGUACCCAUGUUCGACACUUGGGGUAAGGGUAUGGGAUCCAUUUCGGACAAAUAUAGUUGUAUACUCACUCCCAACAAAUUGAGUGAUCCAGGUUUACAAUAUAGGCAUGCCUAGAACUCUAUAAGUAUGCUUGAAUUGCUCUACAACACAUUAUAGCAUCAUUUUGCAGUAGACAUAACAAAAGUAAGUUGAUAAUUACGUACAUGUUGACAUGUCCAUACGUGUCCUUGUAUUUGAGACAUACAAGAAUCCAACACCAGGAGGUUGGACGCAUACCUGCUACCUAGACUUCAUGUAACAUAGGGGAGAUUUUUUGAUGGAGCAGGGACUAGUUGCCCAUCACUUAAGCUUAUGUGAUUCCAUUCCCCUUGCGACUCAAUUGACCUUACGAAUUCAGCUUUCCUCUACUCAUUUCGUUUUAUAUAUCCGUAUUCCAUCUCUGUCUCCCUCCUUCCAUCGACAGAUUUCUUUUCCUUUUUUCUCCUUUCUUUUUCAAGUUAUAUUCUUGUUGAAUUGGUAGAAGAAGCGACUGUCAUGUGCGUUGUCACCUAUAAAUGAGCUUAUGAAAUUUUUAGCUCAAGUACCUGGAAUGUUUAUUACAUAUCAUAUUCAUAUGGUUCAACUUGCGACUUUCUUGGUGGCUAGCUAUUGUGUUGUCUACCCUUUUUUCCUCCCCAUCUCCUACUAUAAGUAACAAGUCUGUAAUAUAGCUGCUAGUACAAUGGAAAACAAGCGUGUUUGUCUAAAAUAAUAGCACCGAGCUCAUGUUGAAAUUGGAUUCGUCUAGGCAAUGACUGUAAUGAUGACACUCGAUUUAUACGGGGGACAUUUAAACUUGACUUGUGGAAUUUUCUCAUAUUUUACUGUUUAGAAAAGUUAUCCUUGGAGUUCUCUUUGCUAUGUCGAUUGGACGUUUUACCCAUGAGAGAAGCUAACAUGUAACUCUAUUUUUGUCGAAUAGAAUCUUUCAUGGUUCUCACCUUAGAUUUGCAGGAUUUUCUUCUCCGUGCUCUAGUGUUGAAGCUGUAUAGACAAGCACUGAGGAUUGCCAGAAGAGGCCCAUGCCAUGCUAGAGGUAGCUUCUGAUUAGAAGAAUCUUUUCAUGAAUUAAUCUGUUUGGUAGACACGAAAAGUAGGUAUGAAUUCCAACCACUAUAACGGAAAUCACAGAGUAUAUAUGAUCUGGUCAAUCUGAACUUGUCCUUUCCUUCUGGUCAUUCCUAUCUGUUUGCUAACUUGUUUGGAUGUCUUAAUCUUCCUUGGUGAAUUCUUUACUCUUCUUAGUCAACAUUUAACGAGUUUUUGUCUUUGAUGAUUGUAUAGUCAAAAUCUCAAGAGUCGUCUAAAUUGUUUAGUUCUAAUUGCAUUUGCCCAAGUCUAAUGGAGAUGGAGAUUGCCUUAAUUACUGAUGGAAACAGCUGAUCUGAUGCACAUGGAGAACAACCGGAAUUGUAGCGGCAAGCAGAGGAUUCGUUUCUUGAUAAAUGAUAAGCGAGGGAAGGGAAAGUUGAAAGGCUUCGAUGAGAUGCUUGAGAUUUUUUUUUUCCGACAAACUAGAUCACCCCUGAUAUUAUAUACAAGAAAAAUACAAAUGCUUGAGAAUUGAUAUGCGAGGUAUUUGACUGUGUAGUCGUUUGUGUACUUAGAAUUAAAGAGGACUUUCUCGUGUCUCAAAGAAUAUAAAAAUUGUUUUGAAAGGUCAAUGAUAAUGUACCAAUUUAUAAAACCUUGGGGCCAUAGAAGGAUUUGUCCGGUCAUUAACUUCAAGGCCCCAGAAUUAGUCAAGGUGCGCAGGCUGGUCCAAACAUCCAUAAUCGAAAAAUUGAUAAUGUACCAAUCUUGUUCUCAGUAUAUGCAAAUUCCCCAGACAGAUUGUACCAAAAUUUUUAAAUGUUCAUCGAAAAUGCUUCUCAUUUA